CCUACGGGAGGCAGCAGUAAGGAAUAUUGGUCAAUGGACGCAAGUCUGAACCAGCCAUGCCGCGUGGAGGAUGAAGGUCCUCUGGAUUGUAAACUUCUUUUAUCUGGGAAGAAAUCCACGAAUUCUUUUGUGGUUGACGGUACCAGAUGAAUAAGCACCGGCUAACUCCGUGCCAGCAGCCGCGGUAAUACGGAGGGUGCAAGCGUUAUCCGGAUUCACUGGGUUUAAAGGGUGCGUAGGUGGGCUGGUAAGUCAGUGGUGAAAUCUCCAGGCUUAACUUGGAAACUGCCAUUGAUACUAUCAGUCUUGAAUACCGUGGAGGUCAGCGGAAUAUGUCAUGUAGCGGUGAAAUGCUUAGAUAUGACAUAGAACACCAAUUGCGAAGGCAGCUGGCUACACGAAUAUUGACACUGAUGCACGAAAGCGUGGGGAUCAAACAGGAUUAGAUACCCUGGUAGUCCACGCCCUAAACGAUGGAUACUCGACAUACGCGAUAUACUGUGUGUGUCUGAGCGAAAGCAUUAAGUAUCCCACCUGGGAAGUACGAUCGCAAGAUUGAAACUCAAAUGAAUUGACGG
rnacentral:rRNA from 1 species